AAGGAGCUUCACGAGGAAGAGAGUAAGUCAUCAGCUAUGAGUUAUCAAAUGCUGCUCACAGGUGAAGUAAGAUGAAGACUGAGAAAUGAAAAGUGGAUUUGAGAACACGGAGGCUCCUGAGGAUCCAGAGAGAGAGACUCCAGCCUCCACGACCUUCUCUAAGCUCCAAAUGGCAGACUAAGGGAGAAGCAUACAAGAAACAAUCUGAGGCAAGAUUAAAGAGACCAUCAAGAUUAGGAGACCGUCCACCUGAGAUGAAGGGCUUCCCAGGUGGUAAAGAACCCGCCUGCCAAUACAAGGAGAUAUAAGAGACGAUUUGAUAUGGCACCUGUGCAGAGGCUGAGCUUUCACUAAGAUAAAGGGUGAGGAAUACUGGCAGCUCAUUUUCCUCAAGCAUACAGUGAAUUCAGCAGGGUAUACGGGUCAGACUGUAGCCCACCAGGCUCCUCUAUCCAUGGAACUUUCCAGGCAAGAAUACUGGAG